AUGAAACGAUUAAAGUUAUUUUGUUUCUAUUUUGGGGGACAAUUUCCUCCGUUUAUGGUACGCUUAGCUACUGUGUGUAUGUUUUAUAGCAUGAAAAUAAUAAAAGAGGAAUGUCAGUGCAACCCAUCAUUAAUUAUUGUAAUGGAUCAGUAUUAUGAGAUACUUAUUAUAAGUGACUACGACAUUGUUAGGAUUAUAACCUAUCGUCAGUAUGAAAGAAAUUAAAAGUGGUUCAUAUAUUCAUCCGUAUAAAAGCGGCACAUGCAUUUUAUUUUAUCCUUAUAUUUCUCAAUAUGC
rnacentral:lncRNA from 1 species